rnacentral:tmRNA from 1 species
GGGGCUGAUUCUGGAUUCGACGGGAUUUGCGAAACCCAAGGUGCAUGCCGAGGGGCGGUUGGCCUCGUAAAAAGCCGCAAAAAAAUAGUCGCAAACGACGAAACCUACGCUUUAGCAGCUUAAUAACCUGCUUAGAGCCCUCUCUCCCUAGCCUCCGCUCUUAGGACGGGGAGCAAGAGAGGUCAAACCCAAAAGAGAUCGCGCGGAUGCCCUGCCUGGGGUUGAAGCGUUAAAACGAAUCAGGCUAGUCUGGUAGUGGCGUGUCCGUCCGCAGGUGCCAGGCGAAUGUAAAGACUGACUAAGCAUGUAGUACCGAGGAUGUAGGAAUUUCGGACGCGGGUUCAACUCCCGCCAGCUCCACCA